UACGGGGGGAGCAAGCGUUGUUCGGAUUUACUGGGCGUAAAGGGCGCGUAGGCGGCCAGCACAAGUCAGUUGUGAAAUCUCCGAGCUUAACUCGGAAAGGUCAACUGAUACUGUGCGGCUAGAGUGCGGAAGGGGCAACUGGAAUUCUUGGUGUAGCGGUGAAAUGCGCAGAUAUCAGGAGGAACACCGGUGGCGAAGGCGGGUCUCUGGGCAGUAACUGACGCUGAGGAGCGAAAGCGUGGGGAGCGAACAGG
rnacentral:rRNA from 1 species